UACGAAGGGGGCUAGCGUUGCUCGGAAUCACUGGGCGUAAAGCGCACGUAGGCGGCUUGUUAAGUCAGGGGUGAAAUCCUGGAGCUCAACUCCAGAACUGCCUUUGAUACUGGUGAGCUUGAGUCCGGAAGAGGUGAGUGGAACUGCGAGUGUAGAGGUGAAAUUCGUAGAUAUUCGCAAGAACACCAGUGGCGAAGGCGGACUCACUGGCCCGGUACUGACGCUGAGGUGCGAAAGCGUGGGGAGCAA
rnacentral:rRNA from 1 species